GAUGAACGCUGGCGGCGUGCCUAAUACAUGCAAGUCGAGCGAACAGACGAGGAGCUUGCUCCUCUGACGUUAGCGGCGGACGGGUGAGUAACACGUGGAUAACCUACCUAUAAGACUGGGAUAACUUCGGGAAACCGGAGCUAAUACCGGAUAAUAUAUUGAACCGCAUGGUUCAAUAGUGAAAGACGGUUUUGCUGUCACUUAUAGAUGGAUUCGCGCCGCAUUAGCUAGUUGGUAAGGUAACGGCUUACCAAGGCAACGAUGCGUAGCCGACCUGAGAGGGUGAUCGGCCACACUGGAGCUGAGACACGGUCCAGACUCCUACGGGAGGCAGCAGUAGGGAAUCUUCCGCAAUGGGCGGAAGCCUGACGGAGCAACGCCGCGUGAGUGAUGAAGGUCUUCGGAUCGUAAAACUCUGUUAUUAGGGAAGAACAAAUGUGUAAGUAACUAUGCACGUCUUGACGGUACCUAAUCAGAAAGCCACGGCUAACUACGUG
rnacentral:rRNA from 1 species